UUCAUUAUAUUUCCAAAUCACCUCACAAUUCAAUUAGUGAUCCACAUCAUGCUUUCAUUCAAAUUUCAAACCAACUUUAGUUUCUAAUUUCACUUCCAUUUACAUUACACCAUUACAACAAAUCCCAAAUUCCAUUCAAAUUUAAUAAUCACAUUUCAAUUCAACCUUUAGAUUCAAUACCAUACACAUUUCAAUUCAACCUUUGGAUUAAAAUUAGAAGCCAAAUCCAAUCCCAUUUAUUCAAAUAUAUUGCAUUUCAACCAAAUUCCGAUUCUAAUACAUUAAUUCCCAUUACAACAUCAAUACAAUAAUUACAAAAACUACAAAACUCAAGCAAUCCAUGUCCAACUCAAGCUCCAAUAUCCAAAACUCCAAGCUUCAUAGCCAAAACCAUAAAUCCAUAGCAUUCCAAUAUCCAAAUUACAUAGCAUCCAUCCAGCACUCCAAAAUAAUCCCAAUGAAUGUGAUAACUUCAAAACAGCCCCAUGAAUCCAAUAGCUCAUGCAUAGGACAUGCAUCCAAUUCAUAUGAAACAUACAUAAGUUCACAUAUUCAAUACAUUGACAAACAAUUAUAACACAUUUCCACAACAUGACAAUUGAACAGCCAUCAUAAAUAAUACACCAAGUUGCAUUCCAUUGCAUGUGACAUACACCAAAACAAAGCAAACAUUGGAUAACUACAAAACAUCAGAAGCAACUGCAAUGCACACAAGUUGCAAGUGUACUAGCAGACCCAAACAUAACAAUGGCAUAAAAAUCGAAGUGAAGCAUCAACAAGCAGCUAUAGCAGUGCAUAACACAACAUCAGUUCAUGACAGGAUCUUAACAACAAUGCAUGACAAGCAUAGCAAGUCAAAACAAAUCAGCAGCAACAGUAAUAAUUCAACUAACCUGCAUUUCCAUUAAUCCGAACUAACUUUUAACAGAACAAAUCAUUAACUUCACCCUAACCUACACACUUAACUAACUAACAAUUUCAUUUUUACAUUCAUUUGAAUUUCAUUCAACUAACUUUAGCAAUAUAACUAACAAACUGAAUUUUCACUAACUAUAAACAUUUAACAGCAGCGUAUUUCAUAAAAGAGGAAAAUUAAUUUCAUUUGCAGUUAUUUGAAAUUUCAUUUCAAUUUGAGUUCCAACUAACUUUUCAUUUCUACCCAAAUAAUGAAUUACCUAUGAAUUACAGUUUAAUUUCAUUUGAAUUUAGAAAUAGAAAUCGAACUCUAUAAAACCAUACUCACGCUUCAGAUCAAAACUUGAGAGUCCACUGAUUUUUACAUUCACGCUUAAAAUCACAGGGGGUUCAAAACACAUUUUUUUCAAUCCACAUUUUUCAUUCAAUACUUACUCAUUCAUAACAGAAAAUUCAGCAGAGAAAGAAGCAUCACGCAACACAGAAAAGGCGUCCUAAUCAGUUCUUCAUCACGAAUUCAACAGAAAAUAUUCAGAAAAUCGAUCACAACGAUUCGCAUAAACACACGCAACUUCACAACAUAUUAGUAGCACGGAGGGAGAAGAAGAAGAAGUAAUUGGAAAUCAAAUGGAAUAUUCGAUACCUGUUCAAUCCGGUAAGUCCUCCAAUUCGUCUUCGAUAUCAUUUCUUCUUCUGUUUGUUCAUACGAUAAUAGAGCGAAUUGAAUUUUGAAUCUUCGAAUCUUGGAAUUGAUGAUGGAACGACGCGAUCACGAAGUGAGUUGAAAUGUGAAUCACGAAUCUCUGAAGCGCGAUGAUUGAUGAACGUAGAAACUGAAGAAAGAACGCAUUAUUGUGAUCAAAGCAUCGAACACGGUGAUAAUGGUGAGGGGACGCCGACGUGAAGAACGGAUCGCGCGGUCGCAAUGGCUUUUUGGGAUAAGCGCUUUUCCAUGUUUCUGCUACAGCUUGUACGAAGAACACGAAGAAGGAGUGGACUCGGUUCCUCAUUCAAGUGCACAUUCAAGCUUGGAUCUGGUUUGGGCCAAGGCCCAAAUGGAUUUCCCCCUUUUGUCCUUCACACAUACCCCCUUUACCCCUAUUUUGAAGAGGAAAGUUCCCAGGUUUCGCAUCUUAGAAAAGUGCAUGACCAAAUUGGAAGAAUUUGCAAUGGGCCAACUCACCCAGCCUUGAUGUGCCUGACAGAAGAGAGUGAGCACAAAAUGGAGUUUCCAUCUUGGAUGAGCCUCACGCCCGGAAAGAAUCUUUUUCAAGACUUUCUCCCAUAUGUUGAACUUUCUCUAUAUUACCUGAUUUUGGAAUGCCCUGGAAUUUUAUGGUAGACUUGGACAUGUUCCAUGGCGAAGUCUCUUCUCAACUAAUAGCUCUAAUUGCGGGGAUAUCUAAAAAAGAUGAUCCCCUCUCAUCCACAUCAAAAUCUUUGUCAAGCUGGGCCCUGAUGAGGGAUGGGAAUGGCUGAAUACGUCUGCCCGUAUGCAAGUAAGCAACUGGGACAUCUAUCAUGUUUGCCAAAUCGAAAAACUAUCGCCUUUGCAUCCUCACAUCGGCUAUGACCAGAUCCCAGUGUUGGUUGACUUUGGACUUUAUCCUCCAUAAAGUCUUCUGAUCUCCUAUUCUCAAUUAUGUUAAGCAGCUCCUGAUCGCAGCAAUCAUGCCUUCGAAGGUACGCUUUUUAUAGGGGGGUCUUGCCUAUUGAAUGAGCUUGUUCAACAAUGUGCGGUCUCACCGUUCACAUAAGGUUUUAUACAGAGGGGGUUGUAUUGAAGGGCCAUAAGCUUUAAAUCAAUAUGUGUUGGUUCUAAUCCAGAUCUCGUAGUUUGGGUCUCGAGAUGAUAUUCAGGAGACAGAAGAGUAGAGCUGAUAGAAAUGCUUAUUAUAAUGGAUAUACUAAUUCUUUAAUAAAUACUUGUGCCCAUUGUCCAAGAUUCCUUUGUGGAACUGUCUUUUUCUUCUUCUUGACUUGACUAAAAAACCCUCCCAUUCAAGACAGAACUCUGAGGGUAUCUUUGAAGAUUUAAAAUACAGAAGAGCGAUUGCCAAUCAAGACAACAUUGAAGCACGCGCCUUAGGACCGAUCCUAGUUAAAUAUAAAAACGAAUCUGCAUGCUCCAGUAAGAGAGGGGUUUCCUUCACCGAUCGGAACAAAACUAUCAAAAGAAAGAGGGAUUUGCGUUAUACAUAAUACUAAGGGAUCCAGGCUCUGCCCGAAAUAUACGAUCAACAACUUCUAGUACCCAAGCUAUGUGAUCAAUAACUAUUCUCCUAGAGGUGAAUCCCUCUGGGCACCCUAAGCAACCGAAGGGUAAAGAAGAUGAAGAAUAAGGGUAAUUUAAGCAUGCGCCACCAAAAGGAAAGAGAGGACCGAUUGAUACCAAUAGCAAGAUACACAUCUUCUUUUUUUAGACUCCGAGGGGUGAGAAUAGUUGAAGAUCAGAAGAUUGACCUUAAUAGGUUAAGUGCAAACUUUCUUUUUUAUAUUAUAUUAUAUAUAUGUAUAUAUCAGUAAGCCCCUUCCCUUAGGAACAUAAGGAUUUGAUUACAUCGGCUGGCUAUAUGCUUUACACGUCGUCUUAUGUGCUACCUUCGGUCAGGGUUUCCCGUCUCUUCUGCGACAUUAGAAUCAUAGGACAAAUUGAUUUAUCGUAACAUCCAAAUCAGGGGCGACUAUUGGCUUUAUUAAGUCUGUUAGCCCUGAACUUAUUCAAUUAAGUGUUUGAUAAUUCAUUCAUUCAUUUACCAAAUAAGGGUUUGUGUAUUUUAAAAAAUAAGACUUCUUCUUAAGUUGAAUUCACCUUUUUUCGUAUUAUAACACAUAAAGAAAAGAUAUCUCCUCAGAAUACGAUUACGCGCAUCUAGGAUUUAAUAGCAAGCACAGAAGCAGGAAAGCUAGCCACCGUGGAGUAGCAUGAAAUGCACACUAAAUCGUCUCUUUGCAGCAAAUCGUCUGUUAUUGAAUUGACUGCUUGAUAGAAUAUGCGGUUCUCUUUCUGUUAGCAAGAAUCCGCUAUUAGAGAAUACGCUUGAACUAAUAGACGGAUGGGAUUAAUUGAUUCUAAAUCCGUCGAAAGUCUUUUAGUCAACAAGUACGAAUUUAUAGACUAGCACCUUAUCUUAGAAUAAAGGUUUAAGAAUCCAGAUCAAGAAUAGAAGUAGAAGUAUUCUAGUAUAGAAAGAAGUCCUGAGUUAAAACGACUUUCCUUAGGAUGAGCUUUUAGGGCAAAGUCUAAGGAGCUUAUUCGUCGAUAACAAGCCUUUAUUCAAAAAAGGAAUAAAAUCGGAAAGCUUUGAAGGCUAAGGUCGUAGAGACAUAUCCAUAUGCAUAUGGUUAUAGGCGUGAGACCCCCAAAUUUGAUGGUAUUACAGGAAGCUCGGCCAUAUGGGUUGAAAAAUCUUCAUUCGUACCAUACCAAAAGAGCGGGAGGUAUAGCUUGUUCCUCCAGAACCGGUUGAUUGACCGUUGUGGUACUUAUACUACGCCUGGAACUGCCCGAAUCCUUUACCAAAUCGCUUGUAUAAGUAAACAAAUCUGAAUUGGUGGAUUCGGCAGCUCCUUGAGGCAUCAUGCUUUCUCUUGCUAUAAAACGUCUAGAAUCAUUCAAGUGGUGGAUAUGCCAAUUGUAGCUAGCCUGAAGUGAAGGAAGUUUUACCGGUACCGUUAGCCCCCUUUCACGAGAAGAGAGGCACACUUUAGACUUUACUUUCAAAUAAGAUAAAAAUGUAGCCUCUGGAACACCCACAUCGGAUAGGACCACUUCCCCUUCCCCCAAGCCCAAGUUCACCCUCCUAUGCUAUGAUACUUGGACUAAGGGCAUCCUCGCCUUAACAUAGUAAAAUUUCUUUGGGUUUGGUGACUACUAUUUUAGUCCCUCUCGUCCCAAACUUCCCCUUUUUCCACAGAAGCCCUCCCCCCACAUUAUUGUUCUGCAUGCUUCAUGAGUGGGAAGAAAGCGGAAUCUUUCUUAUCCAAUACCAAUCCGGGAAUACUAGGCUAAUCAUGUAGCCUGCCCGUUUCACUCAUCAAAAACAGGCUUAUAAGAAUGGUACUAACUAAGAAUGCUAUUGGGUGAGGAGAUUUGUACUCAGGAAGACCUGGUAAAAUUGAACUACUUUCGGCGGUUCCUUCUAUUAUCUCCUUCACGCUACCCAAUCAAAAAUCAUGAGUGCCUGUAGCAGCAUUGAGUGAUCCCCUUCUCCGACAUCGAUACCCUAGGGAUUACAAAUCGUGCCAACUUCCCUCAGCUGCGUCGCUCUACAACCAGAUACUGCAUCUUUCUUUGCACUAGUCGAAUUUGUUGGAACCCUAAGAAGGAAUCUACUGUCUCUCGCUUGACUUUAUCGGUAAAACAUUUCUUGCUAGAUCGAAUUGAGGGUGACUUCUUCCCUUCCGCUGACUAAGGCACUUCGCUUGUGCAUUUUCAACAUCCAUAGCUUCUAACUAUGUCGGUGAAAAAGGUCCCUAUUUUCUAUUUCAAAGAACUACUUAUGAUAUGAGACUCUCUAUCUAUUGUCUGACUUUCGGCAUCUUUAUGAGAAAUUUCUAAGUAGGCGUAUUGGUUGUCUCUUCUUGAAAUGCUUUCCCUUGGCAUCGGUGCCAGCUAGGACUGGUAGCAUGUUCUUCUCUUAGGCUUUCUCGUGGUGUCAACAUAGGAAUGUGAGUUGUUUGAAUGGAUGCAUUUUCCCCUGAUCUUAUAAUAUGAAAUGCAGUCGAUUGAGAAGCCAGAAUCUUUACUAAUUAGUCGGGUGAAGGCAAUAAAAUAGCUUCAUUUGCGCACCACGAGAAAGCUUGAAGAUCAUAGAAGCACCCUUUGGAAUAGCAAACACUUUACUCUGGCAACGGGGAAGACAUUUAUUCAAUUAACAUUCUGGUGACCAAGCUUUAAUAUUAAUAUAAAAGAACGCAAUUGAUAUUUUGAAUUGAAUAAAUUCCAUCCAUCUUUGAUUCCCUUCUCCAUGUGUAAAAUGAAUCAACAAUUCUCAUUGCUUCACUCGCAGGCGCAUCCAUGGGACACCCAUACCACAACUUCGGAUUCAUUGAGUAGGAGUCAAAAGCAGCACGAGAGCUAUUAGCCUUAGGUUCGGAAAGAAAAUUCCUUAUUCAUAUUAAACGGUAGCUUACGCUAAUAUGAGAAAAGGUUAGGGAAUGACUAAAGAAGAACUACAUUCAUAGGUAAACCCCCUCUUUCUAUUCGUUUAUUCUUUUUUGUUGAUUAGGUUCUGCUAUAUUAAACGGUAGCUUACGCUAAUAUGAGAAAAGGUUAGGGAAUGACUAAAGAAGAACUACAUUCAUAGGUAAACCCCCUCUUUCUAUUCGUUUAUUCUUUUUUGUUGAUUAGGUUCUGCCCUUUUUGUGCUGGCUAAGAUUGAUAAUACGACUCAAACUCCUAAGCGACCAUACCUGAUUGCUUUGAUCGAAGCUUAAACAGGGCUUGUGCUAUCAGAGUGCUUUACUUUUUUUCGAGCGGUUGGUCUUGUUUCAGUUGCCAAUUGCUUGAUUCUGUACGUAGAUUGGUUGGACCCCGCUUUGACCCAGUCGUGAGACAAGCUGCAGGAAACAAACAAUUAGGUGUCAGCGGAAAGUAAGUCCUUGAAAGUUGGAAGAUCGACAUGGGCGGUUAAACUAAAACCAUUAUCUCCUCUGGUCACUCUUACAAAGCCUUAUCCUUCAUGUCUAUCUUCCAUGACAAGAUGAAUCUAUUGCCUCCUCGCCUCACUUCCACUAUAAGUUAUUAUGUAUGGGAUAAACUCCAGUCACACUCGUCAUUGUCCACCACACCAUUAGUCACCCGACUCCGAAUCCCAUUUUAGAGAUUGUUCAUUCCUCUCUCUCUGCAAUCAAACUAAAGCCCUAAUGAUAUAAAGCCUAUAGCCUGCCUUAGUCUCACGCAUAUGUUUUCUUGCUGGGUGAGGGCUUUAAUACCCUAUUCACAUAGCGUUCCUGACUUAUAACAUUUUAAUUUAUCAAAAAAAAAAUUAAUUUGAAACGGGUAUGGCUUUAACUUCAUUCAUUUUGACAAGGAUAAAAUCAAUGGGAAUAGGUGAUUCAUGUUCAAGAGAGCUGCUUUGUAGGGAAAUAUUUUAAUUAUAUAUAGAAUCCCAUAAUUUCCAUUGAGUGGGUAUAUGAAAUAAAAAAAGAAGACUAAAAUUUAGAAAAGGUUUUCCAAUAAACUCCCCAGACUAUAGUAAAAUUGAGGGAGAUGAAGCUCAAGAACAAGCACUCAAACGAGGGAUCCAUGUAAAGAAGACCGACAACUAGAGAUUCCAAUAGGCAAGAACGGUCCACACCAGUAUGGGCGCACGGGAGUACUCUCCCUUCAAAGUACGCCACCGGUUAGGUUGAACAUAAGAUGGCUUUGUGUUGUGCGAGAGUGGCAAGCAAGAAUCGGGUCAGAUUUUGCCGGGACGCAGCUCGAUUGCCUUUCGUACAGAGGAACCCUUCGAAUAGGGUUUGUACGAUGCCUAAAACCUUACAGUCCAUAAGAGCUAUUUCGAACAGCACUCUACGAUAAUUGUUGGAGAAUUGGAUGUAACUCUAUAAACUCCUAGAUUAUCUCCUAUCGCAGAAUACCUAGUUUGAACUCCUACUCGAAAUCGAAAGAAGGGAAUUUCGAACAGCACUCUACGAUAAUUGUUGGAGAAUUGGAUGUAACUCUAUAAACUCCUAGAUUAUCUCCUAUCGCAGAAUACCUAGUUUGAACUCCUACUCGAAAUCGAAAGAAGGGAAGGUUAGUGGUACCUUUUUUACACGCUUGAACUACAGGACAGACUAGUGGAAAAAAAGUUACAUCCAUGCAGGAGUAACCCCUGUAAGUAAACCCAGUUGUCUUAGGCUCAAAUCCGCUCGGGAAUAUAAUGCUUCUUUGACAGAGCUUUAAGAAAUUGGACAAAAAGGUUCUGCACGUGAAUCAGACUGGCUUUAUCUCAGGAUGUGGGAUUACCAAUGACACGAUUGGAAUUAGGAAAGGAAGCCUUUGUCCAAACUUUCUAUCCAGACUUGUAAAAAAGGAAAUUCCUACGGCUUCCACGGAGAGACUCGGCUUGUGAGCUCCUUCUACAAUGGAACCUACUGUGUAUACUCUUGCUUCACUGGAAGACUUGCUCGCUCUUUUGGUGUAGGUAUUACCUUUCUUGAUCCCUUGGUUAGGCUAGCUAGUUCAAUUGAUCUGAUACCAAGAUAACCCUUCAGAUAUCGUUCGUUGUGCUUGAUCUUUAGUUUGGUCUUCCAUCACUUGACAAUGGGGAUGGGGGCUAAGUAAGCCCUGAGGAGAUCAUCACGCUAUGUAAAGGGCUGUGAAAUGGAGUCUUGCCUCUUCUUUCUGCCUUUCCCUUUCCUUUAUGAUUCUCUUUGUUUAUUCUAACUUUUUACUUUUUGGCCUAGAAUGUACGGUAUCUGACUAGCAUUUGUUGUGGCUGGUUCCCGUAUUUGCGCUAAAGGUACUUGACCCCUCUUCAUUCUUAGCUUCCAUUCCAAAAAAUGCACUCUUUCGGUCACCUUCCACAAUGGGCUUUCAGUGUGUUAUCUCUGCAUUGCUUCUGUAAACUUCGGUAUAGUUCCCCUCCCCUUUAGUUCCAUCAGUGGGUUCCUCCAUUCUCUUCUCGGUAUUAAUAAAAUGUGUUGACUAGUUUCACCUUCACCCCACUCUUUAAUACGUGGGAAUCUCCUCAUCAUCUGACUCCCCUUUUGGUACCAUUAUCUUUUGUGAGGGGAUCACUUUAUGGUUAUAGCGACGUGCGAUGGGGUGGGAGUGGACGGACCACCGUCCCCGCCUACAGUAGGCAAUAAUGCCCCAACACCUAUCAUUGGUGCUCCUGAAGUUCCCCUUGCGGCCCCAAAGAUUCCCGUAUUAGCCCACCCCUUAUUACCAGAUAGCAAACGAUAAAGCGAACUAUAUAGGAGCUUCUUGGUUAAUACUAUAAGGGAAGAGCCCAGCCUAUAGCGGAUUUCUAACAUAAUUCGUGUUCAGACUCUGAUCGAAAGAUGGGAGAAGCUGCGAACAAGAGGUUAGCUACACUUAUCAAUAGCAGUGGAGUCACCCUUUGAAAGUGCUAAUUCAAUAGUAGUCUUCUGACUGAAUAAAUCUGAGUGUAGUGUGGUUAAGCGGUCAGAAGUUGUUCUGGAACCAUUGCUACCAUUAAAGGAAUGGGGAGGAGAACUUGAAUCUAGCUAGGGUACUGGGCAAUAACAGUGAGAGGAAAGCGCUACGAGGACCCUCUUUAAGAGAGAUAGAAAGAUAACCCUUAGACUCGGGAAUAGGAAACUAGCAGUAAGGGUAUUACGCUUCAAGAUAAGUAGAACUCACUCGAAUAGAGAGAGUCUAGGCUCACUCACUAGUCAAGGGCUAGUAUAGCAAAGAGGCUUUCAAUUCCCACAAAGCAAGUGGGAAUUUCUAUUAGCAUUAAACUUCUGUAUGGUCUUUAACGCUUGGGAACCUCAAAGGUGUUAUAUGGCUCGCUGGAGUUAAAUCAAGCUAUUGCUCAUAUUCAUCCUUCUUCGGUUGAUGAAAGUACUAACUUCCCUUGAGACUCAGAUUUAAGUUUUCAGUUUAAUUGUCAUAUAUUCUUACCCUGAAUUGAAAGGCAUUAUGUAUCUUUAUGAAGUUAACUAAAUCGAUUAGUUCAUACUACUAGUUGAGUACUUAAACUUAAGAUAAGAAUCGAAUAUGUCGUUUCUAGCUUGCCUACCCCGCAAACCCUGCCCUUAGGACUAGGUUGGAAACUCCCAAGAGGAUGGGGCUUGCUCACUCGCUUUCAAGACGGAAGAAUUAAAGUUUUUUCCUCCGGUGAUAUUUUAGCUCUACUGCAUCCGGGACUUUAUUUAAUUAGAGAGCUAGCGUCUCUUGUGGAGGUUGGUAGUUCCCCAUCUAUCAGCCAUAGAUCUGGUUGUUUUCCUCCCGCACCCUUAUCGGGAUUAAGCAAAGCCGGUUUCCAUCCUUUGUCAGGACCCGAAAACCUAGUUACCAACCACUCUUGCAUUUUACUUUUUUUGGAGUCGUUUUCUAGACUAUAUUUUUUUCAAUGUUCUAAAUCAUUAGCAUCAUCUAUGAAUGCAUAUGUUAGGUUCCCAUUCCUGCUCAACAACUUGAGAGAUUAAGUUCAUCUAUGGACCAGUAACAACCCCUACCUGUUAGAAACUAUGAAGCUAAUGAACCUUUGCCUUUCUUUCUUAUCUUUCUAUCCCUUCCUCUAUCCUAUCCUUAGAGCUCCCAUUUGCGUUGAUUAUAGGGGAACCUUUUCUUUUCCCUUUGGGAGAGGUAAGGUAUAGAGCUUGAAUCCCUCAGCUGACAUCUUAUUCUACAUUGGGCACCCUCAUGGAAUCUACUUCUUUAAAUAAAAGAGAAAAAGCUUUUGCCGCUCUUUCCUUAGCUUUCUUUCGUGCUCGUAUGUCCUUUAAUAGAAAGAAGCAAUUUCUCUGAAAUCAAGCUACAAGCCAUCAUGAAGGAGAAGAGCGAUUCAAAAUGCAGCAGAAUUAAAAAAAAUCUCCUUUAGUGGUCCUUACUAAUGGGCAUGAUUAGUGAUAGAAUUGUUACCUUGUGUGGCGAUUGAAACCUUUUAUGCAGAUCUACGGAGCGAUCACGAAUGUUAAAUGGUGACAACGCCUCUACUCAGUCCACAAGAACGAAUUCCUUCAAUCUUAGUGCUAGCUGCUAAGAAUGAAGGCUUUCAGUGAGAGAAAGAGAGAGAGAAAUGAAAUUGCAACUGCACAAAUACUUCUGCACAAGGGUUCUAUUUAUAGAACCACUUGUGUGGGCUGCAAGCAAAAAAGCUCACUUAAGUGUAUGUGGCACAUAUCUUAUAAUAUGCCAAAAUCACUUAAGCAUGUGGUACCUUACCAUAUAUCGUAUUCUACUUAAGCAUACCAUACCUUACGAUAUUCUACAAUUCACUUAAGUGCACCGUACCUUACGGUGUUCCUUAGUUACUCUAUCUCUCGUUAAUCCGUCCUUUUGUGUAUGACCCUGUUUUCGCAACAUUGGCAAUUAUAUUAAAUCACGUAUUUAACAUAAUAAACAGUGAGCGGUAUCUAGUAACACAUCACUGCUACCCAAGACAUGAAAAUGUCAUGUGAUCUGACAAAUCCUUUUAUGAUAAUACUUAUGUGUACAAUUACCCUUUUGCCCUUAUGUCUAUAUUGAAAACAAGGCAUAGAUUGUGUCAUCCUUGUCCAUUUCAAUAUUGGGCCCGUAGACAUUUAUCAUGUUACGCAGGAUGGGCAAAUUCCAUCUAGGUCACUCAUGUCCCUCAGCAUGCUUCGUGGAGUACCCAGCAACGUCUUUGGGAUGUUGAGCCAGUUACGGACAAUGUUUGCAUCAGCAAUAGGCACUCGACUCUACAUUCUAGGGUACAUAGUGGUUUCAGGUCAAAGGGUGGUAUACACCAUUAUCACCAUGAGAAUAACUUAUGACACUUAGCAUAAAAUUCUAUAUAGUAUUCUCAUAGCGGGUCAAUCCAGUAUAAAUAUUACUCUCAAUAUUCAUACUUAUGUUUAAGACUUAAUAACUCCUUAUCCAUGAUCCAUGAGAUGUGAUCAUCAAUCUGUAUACAUAAUAGUCUUAAUGCUUUAAUAUUAUCCCACUUCACAAACAAAGCUCGACUACAGAUACUUUAAGAAUAGUGUCCUUAUGUUUAAUGGGAUCUCAUGAUUAAGUCACACUUGAUACAUUAAACAGACUAGCUAUUCUAGGGACUUUAUUAAACAAACACAAUAAAGAAAAAGCCUUUUACUAUUAAUAAAUAAUUCGAUACAUGUACCAAAAGUAUUGGCCUUUAGGGCUUACACCAACACAUCAAAGAUGGCGAUAGAACAGCUAGCAAGAGGUUCUCAGGUACCGUUAACAAGCUCAUGAAUUUAACUUUCAAGCAAACCCCAUGCCUUAUGGUUUAAGAGUCUGUUUGAUUAUAAGCCUUUAGAAUGGUUAUAUAUACUUUAGAAAAGGGCUAUCUCUCUCUAGCUUUCCUUUCUUGCUUGCUUUCUAGCCCUGAUGCCAAUGCCCUUUCUGUUCUCGAGUCUUUGCAAUCUUCUGCCAUUCCUCGACUUUGAAAUGGUUAGACCAAUGUCUUCGAGUCCGGUUGAGAAAUAGCGGAUUUGAGUACCGAGAAGUAAGUAUGAGUAAGGUCCGGGUCUGGUUGAGUAACUCAGGAUAGAGAGAGUCCUUCAUUUCUAAAGUAUGAAUAAAUAGUAGACAUAUAGCUGCCUUUUAGGUAUUGAAUCCCUGGCCGGGAAGCGUGAACAAUAACAUGAGCCUUUAAGGAUAGAGUGACCCGAUGGGUUGUCCAUUCUUUCGGGUAUUCACUCAAAAAUCAUUGAAUUGAAUAAGGUUAUUCAACUUAGGACUCCCUUACUAAGCUUUCAGGAAAGUAUGAGAUCUCAUUGUCUUCCUAAAGCCUUUUUAAUCAUAAAUGAACAGAUAUAAGAUAGAUGUAGAGACUCAUCCUUGAUUCCUAUCGGUUAGGGCCCUUGAAGAACCCUCCACGAAUUAUCGAUAGUAGUUUACUAAUCCAAGGAAGGAGUAAUGCGAAUAAUUGAUUUCUUUCGUACCCAUUCACAAGAAACAAGGGUCUCAAGCAGUGUGUCCGUGGUCACUCAAAACAUAGGAUUUUCGGCAUCAAAGAGCGCGUGGGACAGGUGAGGGGAGGAAGGUCGGGAUGAAGCAAGCAGUUAAUCCCUUGCUGGUUAAAAAUAGCAGCAUCAGUAUUAAAAUUAUAAACACCAUGGGAUGGGGCCUGCUGUAACAACCCAAUUUUUAGUAUUUAUUUAUUAUACUAUUAUUAUUAUAUUUUAUUUAAUUAUGUGGAGUGUUAAUUAAUUAAUUAGUUGUUAGGUAGUAUAAUAAUUGAUUAUAUUAAUUAAUUUGGUGUGUUAAUUAAUUAUUUAGUUGAUAUGAGAUAUAGUGAAUAAUUGAAUUAAUUAACUUGGUGUGCAUAUUGAGUGGUUUAAUUUAUUUGAAUUAAAUAGAGAUAUUUAAAUAUUAGGUCUUAUUGGGACUAUUAAUUAAAUUAGAUGUAUUAUGCUUUAAGCCCAAAUAGAAUACUAAUAUAAAUAGUAAGAGGAGAGGGAGAAUAAGAUUCAUUUGAUCAUUUGACAAAAAUAGAGAAAGAGAAGAGGAAAAGUAAGGAGAAGAGGGGAAGAACAAAAGAGAAGCUAGGGUUUCCAUCAAAUUGAAGAGGUAAGGGGGGAAUCCUUGUUAUUAUGGGUUAGUAUGAUCGGGUCAAUGGGUAGAAGCAUGUUUAGGUUAAAAUCCCUAAUUUUGUAUGGUUGUUUGGAAUUGUUAGGUUUGAUGAGUACCCUUGAUUGUGGUGAUUUAAUUGUGUUAAAAGUGAAAAUUAACGUUAUAUAAUUAGGGUAUUGUAUGAGUUAUAAUUUUCUGAACGUUUGGCUUUUUACGGAAUCGAAAUCGGAGGUCCGGAAAGUCCUCCAACGAUGAAAAAUGCAAAAAAAUUCUGAUUCUGUUUUACAGUAACCGGUUACUCACCGAGCGUUAACCGGUUAGUUGCUUAAAAAUCUGUUAAUUCUGUUUUACAGUAACCGGUUACUCACCGAGCGUUAACCGGUUACUUGCUUAAAAAUAUGUUAAUUUUGUUUUACAGUAACCGGUUACUCACCGAGCGUUAACCGGUUACUUGCUCAAAAAUCUGUUAAUUCUGUUUUACAGUAACCGGUUACUCACCGAGCGUUAACCGGUUACCACUGUUGAAAAAUGAAAAAUUUGAGAUUUAAAUGCUGUAUUCGUUUUGGAAUGAAAUCUAAUUGUGCGUAGUUGAUAAUUAGCCUAUAUUUGUGAUGAUAUAGUGUUAUGAAUGUGUAUAUGUACCAUUAGUGGAUUUGUGAAUGAUAUAUUGUUAUGAAUGUGUAUAUGUACCAUUGGUGGAUUGUGAAUGAUAUAUUGUUAUGAAUGUGUAUAUGUACCAUUGGUGGGAUUGUGAAUGAUAUAUUAUUAUGAAUGUGUAUAUGUACCAUUGAUGGAUUUUGUGAAUGGUGUAUUUGUUAUGAAUGUGUAUAUGUACCAUUGGUGGAUAAUUCAUAGAGUUGAAUUGUGGUGAUAUGUGGAAUGUUAAGAUGGUAGAGAUGAUCUUAAUUGCAUAUGUAUUGGUAUUUGUACAUUCAAUCAUGGCAUGGUCGGCUUCAUAGUGAAGCGGUGAAACUGUGGGUUCACAUAGACGGUGAUCCUUAAUUGGAAAUAGAUGUAGCACACGUUGAUCCUUAAUUGGAAAUAGGCGUGGUAGAUAGACGGUGAUCCUUAAUUGGAAAUAGACGUAGCACACGUUGAUCCUUAAUUAGAAAUAGGCGUGGUAGAUAGACGGUGAUCCUUAAUUGGAAAUAGCCGUAGCACACGUUGAUCCUUAAUUGAAAAUAGGCGUGGUAGAUGUAGCACACGUUGAUCCUUAAUUGGAAAUAGGUGUGGUAGAUGUAGCACACGUUGAUCCUUAAUUGGAAAUAGGCGUGGUAGUAGACGGUGAUCCUUAAUUGGAAAUAGACGUAGCAUACGUUGAUCCUUAAUUGGAAAUAGGUGUGGUAGUGGCUUUGAUCUUGUCCCGAUCGGAAGCGUGGCUUGGAUUCUAGAUAUUGAAUCGGAAAGCGGUGAAACAUUGGGUUCACAUUGAGGUACCACAUGCAUAGAGUCACAUGUCUUGCAUUGAGUUGCAUUAGAGUCAUUUGAUAAUUGAGUGUAUGCAUUGUUGUAAUUGUGAUGUGUGUAUGAGAUAUGGUAAUUGACUUUGGUGAUGUGUGAGUACAUAACUUGAUGUGAUUGUGAUGUGUGUAUGAGAUAUGAUAAUUGAAUUUGGUGAUGUUUGGAUACAUAAUUUGGAAAAUAUGUGAUUAUGUGAUAAUUGUAGUUAUGUGUAUAUUUUGGGAAUAUAGUAUUGGAUUUUAAUAUUGUACUCCUUGAGUUUUGAUGGAUGUUUGAAACAUGUGAAAUAAAUGUUGACGAAUAUUAUUUACACGGUUAUACGAAGUGUGAUGAAUUCCUUUAAUUGUUGAUUUAAUCAUUGUGCCUUAUUAUACUUCUUCAUAAUGAUUUGAAUUCUCACCCUUUCUGUUUGAAUGUUACCUUUACAUGGGUAUCGUGCAUCGAAGUGUGAUGAAUUCCUUUAAUUGUUGAUUUAAUCAUUGUGCCUUAUUAUACUUCUUCAUAAUGAUUUGAAUUCUCACCCUUUCUGUUUGAAUGUUACCUUUACAUGGGUAUCGUGCAGAUACUCCGGAGUAGUAUUGCUGAAGUAAGUGGACGGUAGCUUACUCGAGCUUUAGCUGGAGAGUUUCCGUAUUUUAGUUUGAAGACUAGGUAAUGAGUCAAUGCUCUGGUCAUGUAACACUGGGUAGAUUAGUAGUAUUGAACUCGUAUCUUAUUUAGAUAUGCAUUACGUUAUUACUUGUUUUAUUUUAUCUUGAAGUGAUUGUUGAGAGAUGAUCAUGGUAUGGGACAUGGAUCAUUUUAUGAAAUGCAUGAGUAUUCAUUAUUUUCCGCUGCAAACGCAUAUGCUUGAAUAUUCAUGAUAAGUGAGAUGUGUUAUUUUAAA
rnacentral:lncRNA from 1 species